AGUAGGAGAUAUAUAGUAUUAGGAGGAAGGUACUUUAGCCCGAGAAAAAAAAAAAAAAAAAAAAAAAAAAUAACUUAAAUUUAAUUCUAAUUUGUAAUUUUAUUUGUGAUUUAUUUAUAGGUAUAUAAUAUUUUUUCUAAUUAUUAUAAAUUUAUUUAUUAAUUUUUUUAAUAUAUGUAGUAUUCACAAUUUAUUGAUUAAGUUUGUGCCAGCAWUAKCGGUUAUACAAACAACUUAAAAAAAUUUUUUAGAAACUAAUUAAUUAAAUUUAAUUAUAUUAAUUAAUUUAUAUGUAAAAAUUUUAUUUUCUUAAAUAUAUUUUAUGUUUAUUAUGAUUAGUYGUAAAACAAUUUUUAAAACCAGGAUUAGAUACCCUGUUAUUUUUGUAUUUCUAUUUGAUUAGUAUUAGUUUUCUUGAAAUUUAAAGAAUUUGGCGGUAUUUUAGUUCUAUUAGAGGAAUUUGUUAAUUAAUUGAUAUUCCACGAGUGAGUAUACUUUAUUUUACUUAAUUUGUAUAUCGCUGUUUAAAAUACUCUUAUAUUAUGUAUUUAAAAAAGACUAUUUCUAGGAUUUCAAGUCAUGGUGCAGUUUAUAAUAAAGAUUUAAAUGAAUUACAUUAAUUGAGAUUAAAUGAAUUUUAUCUUGGAAGAAUUAAAUGAAAGUGGAUUUAAUAGUAAAAAUAAAUAUAGUAUAUUUUUUUGAUUAAGACAUUAAAAUAUGUACAUAUUGCCCGUCAUUCUAAUUUUAAGAUUAGACAAGUCGUAACAUAGUAGAUGUAUUGGAAAAUGUAUCUAGAUAUA
rnacentral:ncRNA from 1 species